rnacentral:rRNA from 1 species
UACGGAGGGUGCAAGCGUUAUCCGGAAUCACUGGGUUUAAAGGGUGCGUAGGCGGCACAAUAAGUCAGAGGUGAAAGCCCACAGCUCAACUGUGGAAUUGCCUUUGAUACUGUUGUACUUGAAUCAGGUUGAGGUCAGCGGAAUGUGGCAUGUAGCGGUGAAAUGCAUAGAUAUGCCAUAGAACACCAAUUGCGAAGGCAGCUGGCUAGCCCUGUAUUGACGCUGAGGCACGAAAGCGUGGGGAGCGAACAGG